CCUACGGGAGGCAGCAGUGGGGGAUAUUGGACCAUGGGGGGAACCCUGAUCCAGCGACGCCGCGUGAGUGAAGAAGUAUUUCGGUAUGUAAAGCUCUGUCAGCAGGGAAGAAAGAAAUGACGGUACCUGACCAAGAAGCCUCGGCUAACUACGUGCCAGCAGCCGCGGUAAGACGUAGGGGGCAAGCGUUAUCCGGAAUUACUGGGUGUAAAGGGAGCGUAGACGGUUAAGUAAGUCUGGAGUGAAAGGCCGGGGCCCAACCCCGGGACUGCCCUGGAAACUAUUGAACUUGAGUGCAGGAGAGGUAAGCGGAAUUCCGGGUGUAGCGGUGAAAUGCGGAGAUAUUAGGCGGAACACC
rnacentral:rRNA from 1 species